AUGAAGGGCUGUCUUGGACUCACCACCUCAGGGCCCAAACAGAGAAGCUCUGGGGAGGGGCCACCAAAAUCCUGAGAAAGUGUUAGUUGCUCAGUGGUAUCCGAUUCUUUGGGCCUCCAUGGAUUGCAGCCUGCCAGGCUCCUCUGUUCAUGGGAUUCUUCAGGCAAGAACACUGGAAAACUUUUUUUUUUCCAUGAAAACAAGAGGCAGUUUUCACAGGUGGAGUGCUGCGGCCUUUCUCUUCUAAGAUCUGCAUCUGCCAGAGUCUGACAAUGCUGUCUGGGGAGCUCGGGGGCCGGUGCCAUUCCAAAUGGCUUCACGAAGCUUUCACUUGAGGAGGGGGACCGGCACUGGCCAGCACACUGCAACCAGUGUGAAAACCCAUGCAGCUGGCUCUUUAUAACAGCCCCGAACUGGAAGCAACCCAAAUGUCCAUCAGCUGUAGAAUGGAGAAAUCAAUGGUGGUGCAUUCACACAAUGGAAUACCCUCCGGCACAAAGAGAGCCAGCCGCCUCUCAGCUCUCAAUACAUGGAUGAGCCUCACAGACAUGCCGUGUGUGGAAGAAGGCAGGCACACAAGAGAACACGCCGCAGGAUCCCAUUUACAAGAAGCACAAAUGCAGGCAUGUGGGAUCCCAUCUCCCCAACCAGGGAUCGAACUGGCACCCCCUGCAUUGGAAGAUUAAGUGUUAACCACUGGACGGACAG
ensembl:lncRNA